GCAGUUCACCUUUCCCAGAGUAAACCACUGCAGUCAGCUGUACCUACACAGGUGGAUAGAGGUACGACUGUGAAGUUCUUUAUAAUGGAGUCUCACCAACAAGACAGUUCUACAAUGACAACAACCAGAGGAGACUGUAAAGCUGCAGAGAUAAAACAACACAAGUCUAGUCCAGCAGAAAGAUGCUCUGGGAAUUCUUCCAUAAGUCCUUCAGAACAGCAACCCAUCCUCUCUAAAGUGAUUGAGAUUUCUAAGUCUUCUCCACUGAAGCCCAGUGUUAAAUAUAUUGAAGUGAUAUCCAAUAUACAAACACUUCCUAAGCAGUCAGAACAGAGAAGAGAAGAUAUGAUCUCUAAAUCAUCUCCAUUAUCCAACUGUUUGAGAGGCAGAAAGAGAAAUAAUUCUGUAGUUCUCUCUCAUGAAGACCUGAACCCUUUGUCGUCUUUUCUGACAUUAAGAACAAAGUUGCAGAAAAAAUGUCCAAUGCAAAAACCUCAGCGGAGCAGUCCAACAUCUGCAGAGGUAAAUGUGAGUCAGAAUUCUACAGGAAAAGCCUUGCUAGAGAACAGAAUAAAAACAGCGAAUCACAUCUCAGAAACACAAAGCAGUGUCAUUGCUGCUGAGACGAGCUUUCCCCGUGAAGAGAAACAAGAGGCCAUCAGCAAGACUGUAUACGUCCACGCCACAGAGUGUCAAAGAGAUGCAUAUAGGGAGCUGCAGGCGUUGGCUCUGCCCUCUCUGAGUAAAAUGCAGGAGCUGGGCAUCUCUGCUUUGAACAACAGAGACUUUGGUACUCUGUCUUCUGAACUCACAAGAUUCCUCGUAAAGCAGCAAGAGAGAAUGCUUCGGACAGAACAGAGUCAGAGGAGACACCUUCUCA
rnacentral:lncRNA from 1 species